GAUCAAGCCGUUCCUGGGAGCAUCCUAUGAGACAUUUGGACACAGGUUUACUUGGAGUCUCGGAGAUAUGACGGAAUCUGGAAAAGUCAAAGGAAAAAAAGCCAAAUCAGGAGGCAGAGUGAAAUAUGGAGGUUAAUGGAAUUCAAGAACAUAAAUUCAAGCAGGGACGAUAUAGUGAAAACACUACUAUCUCCAUAAGUCAGUCUUUUUAAUUGC
rnacentral:lncRNA from 10 species